AUGGCCAACGACCAGGGCAACCGCAUAGCACACCACGCCCUCCUACGUCGCCUGAACCAGCUCGCCAUGAACCCCACCAACACUGUCUCCGAUCACAGUACAAAGUUAAGCUGGCAACGAGGUAUCCCUUUCCAUCCAUCAUCCUUGGUUUACACAUUUGGUCCAAGAUCGGACUCGCCUACUCUGAACAAUUGUUUUCUGUUCUGA
rnacentral:rRNA from 1 species